rnacentral:piRNA from 1 species
UAGGAUGCCUCAGGCUGUCUGAAACUUAUG